rnacentral:rRNA from 1 species
GGCAGCAGCCGCGGUAACACCGGCGGCCCGAGUGGUGAUCGUGAUUAUUGGGUCUAAAGGGUCCGUAGCCGGUUUGGUCAGUCCUCCGGGAAAUCUGAUAGCUCAACUAUUAGGCUUUCGGGGGAUACUGCCAGACUUGGAACCGGGAGAGGUAAGAGGUACUACAGGGGUAGGAGUGAAAUCUUGUAAUCCCUGUGGGACCACCUGUGGCGAAGGCGUCUUACCAGAACGGGUUCGACGGUGAGGGACGAAAGCUGGGGGCACGAACCGGAUUAGAUACCCGGGUAGUCCCAGCCGUAAACGAUGCUCGCUAGGUGUCAGGCAUGGCGCGACCGUGUCUGGUGCCGCAGGGAAGCCGUGAAGCGAGCCACCUGGGAAGUACGGCCGCAAGGCUGAAACUUAAAGGAAUUGGCGGGGGAGCACAACAACGGGUGGAGCCUGCGGUUUAAUUGGACUCAACGCCGGACAACUCACCGGGGGCGACAGCAAUAUGUAGGCCAAGCUGAAGACUUUGCCUGAAUCGCUGAGGAGUGGUGCAUGG